AAACAAGGGAGAUAUGAGGGAAUAAAAAGGGGCAAGUGCCCGGAACCUCGAAAUAAAAGAAAAAAGUGAGACGAGAGGUAAAAAUGGACAAGUGUCCGACAGUAGAAUUAGGGGUACAAGAUACCCACCUGAGAGGAAAGAAAAAGAAAAUACAGAGCAUCUCAAUCUCCUCACAAAGUUUCAAAAGAGCAAGGAAGGUAUGUAUCCCCUCAACAGAGC
rnacentral:lncRNA from 1 species